CCUACGGGCUGCACCAGUAGGGAAUUUUCCGCAAUGGGCGAAAGCCUGACGGAGCAAUGCCGCGUGGAGGCAGAAGGCCCACGGGUCGUGAACUUCUUUUCCCGGAGAAGAAGCAAUGACGGUAUCCGGGGAAUAAGCAUCGGCUAACUCUGUGCCAGCAGCCGCGGUAAUACAGAGGAUGCAAGCGUUAUCCGGAAUAAUUGGGCGUAAAGCGUCUGUAGGUGGCUUUUUAAGUCCGCCGUCAAAUCCCAGGGCUCAACCCUGGACAGGCGGUGGAAACUACCAAGCUGGAGUACGGUAGGGGCAGAGGGAAUUUCCGGUGGAGCGGUGAAAUGCGUAGAGAUCGGAAAGAGCACCAACGGCGAAAGCACUCUGCUGGGCCGACACUGACACUGAGAGACGAAAGCUAGGGGAGCGAAUGGGAUUAGAUACCCCCGUAGUC
rnacentral:rRNA from 1 species